rnacentral:lncRNA from 1 species
GGAAAUUCCCAAAGCCUCUAAUGUAGUUAGGAAAACAAAGUGAGAGAUGACUGACCUGUCCCUCACUAAAGACCUAGCCCUGUGACUAAUGAUUCUGUUGUCCCCCAUCACCACCCCUUCCUGCCCAGUAUCCAGAACUGCUGUCCAACCCUCAGAGAGUGUACUGGAUCACAUACGGACAGACCCUGCUCAUCCAUGGGGAUGGCCAAAUGUUCCGACAUAUUCUCAACUUCCUGAGACUUGGAAAACUGUUCUUACCAUCUGAAUUUAAGGAAUGGCCUCUUUUCUGCCAGGAAGUGGAAGAAUACCACAUUCCAUCCCUCUCAGAAGCCCUUGCACAAUGUGAGGCAUACAAAGCAUGGACCCAAGAGAAAGAAUCUGAAAAUGAAGAAGCUUUUCCCAUCAGGAAGCUGCAUGUAGUGACAGAAGGGCCACGGUCAUUGGUGGAGUUCAGUAGAGAUGCUAAGGAAACUACAGCCUGCAUGCCUGUGGACUUCCAAGAUUGCAAUGACAAGAAUCCAUGGAACAAGACCAAGGGGAACCUGGCCAGAUCUAGCCAAUUAAAAGAGGCUGAACAGCACCCCCGAGCCAUCCAGGUCUCCCUAUGCCGAAAUGCCAAGAAGGCAGACAAUUCCAGCACAUACUCACAGUGCUCUGGCUUGUGUGGCAACCCCAGACACUGGGGGGCCCACUCUGAGAGUCCUCCCAAAAAGAAGUGCCCCACAAUCAACCUCACACAGAAACUUGAAACCAAAGACCCUCCUGUCACCCCCAUGCAAAAACUCAUCUCCCUGGUAAGGGAAUGGGACAUGGUCAAUUGCAAACAGUGGGAAUUCCAGCCCCUGACAGCCCCCCACAACAGCCCCUUAGAGGAGGUUGCCCCACAUCCCUCUUCCGGAAAUGAGGCUGCUUCUGAGCCCAGUACCUCAGCUGCCUGGAAAAGCCAUUCCAUAGUCUCAGAGAAGGGCCCAAGUCCACAGGCAGGGGCUGGAACAGCAGCACAAGACAAGGGGACUGCUUUCAUUGUGUCCCAUAGAUUCUGAUAUGUUGUAUUGUCAUUGUCAUUUAAUUGUAGGAACUGUCUGAUUUCUUCUUUAAUUUCCUCUGUGACCCAUUGGUUUUUUCAGA